rnacentral:rRNA from 1 species
GUGGGGAAUCUUGCGCAAUGGGCGAAAGCCUGACGCAGCCAUGCCGCGUGAAUGAUGAAGGUCUUAGGAUUGUAAAAUUCUUUCACCGGGGACGAUAAUGACGGUACCCGGAGAAGAAGCCCCGGCUAACUUCGUGCCAGCAGCCGCGGUAAUACGAAGGGGGCUAGCGUUGCUCGGAAUUACUGGGCGUAAAGGGCGCGUAGGCGGACAGUUUAGUCAGAGGUGAAAGCCCAGGGCUCAACCUUGGAAUUGCCUUUGAUACUGGCUGUCUUGAGUACGGGAGAGGGGAGUGGAACUCCGAGUGUAGAGGUGAAAUUCGUAGAUAUUCGGAAGAACACCAGUGGCGAAGGCGACUCACUGGCCCGUUACUGACGCUGAGGCGCGAAAGCGUGGGGAGCAAACAGGAUUAGAAACCCGAGUAGUCC